UUCAUAUUCGUUGUGUUACAAGUUAAAGAAAGGAGCUGGCGAAAGUUAUUCAUGUGAUGAGAAAAUAAACUAAUUCGACGCCCCAUCGGUUCAUUAUUUCCAUUAGUUUGACUGGGGCAACUAUCUCCUCCUGGACUCCAGUGAGCUCUACGCUUGGCAAAACCAGAGUGACUUUUUUAGUUUGUCUCCUUAAAUAGAGAAGAUAAAAUUUUUAUACAAAUUGGAAUACCAUAGAUUAAACUGGCACAUUUGAGCACCUGGAAACCACCAUAUUGUAAGCUGUAUGCCUUUACUGUUAUCACUUUCUGAGCUGCAAAUCAAAUUAAUUCCUAAUUAUGAUGAACAUGACUGCACCGCUUUAAUUAGUCCUUCUAGUCUGUUUUAUUGAUGUGAAUUUCCGAAUUUGGAAGUGAGGACAUAUAUAUUCAUCAGCUAGUACUACAACCAAUUUACUAGUUGAAUUUCUGAUAGACGCUCUCUUCUUUUGAUAUUACUUGAUCUAUACAAUUCUUUAACUCAGGAUUUUCAUGUUAUUAUCUACCGUCCUCUAACCCCAAAAGACUGGAGAUGGAUCCUGGUGUGUGUCAGUGGAACCGAAAGAAAUGCGUGCAGCUUCUCCGCUGAAUAUUUUUGCUCCUCCUUUAGAAAGCUGAUGCACUUGUAGCCAUUCUCUCUUGAAGAUUUUGAAAAUGUCAUUUGCUACAAGAGCAGUAAUUUGAAUGCUGAAAAUGCUUUCUGCCCUUCAAAGAGACAACUAAGAAUCUUUUUCAGCUGUGCUGGAAAGAAGUCGACCAUUGAAGGCAAGCAGAAACUCUCUUGCUAUUCUGGAAAUUAAGUCUUUUCAAAUUUGGUUUCAUCUUUCUCUUCGGCGGAGCUCCUCUGGUACCACACCUUCGUGGUGCUAGCUAUUGAUGACUCAUGACUCUUGUUUUUUCUCUUAACAGAUAACAUUAACUAAUUGGACAGACUAUCUUUGUGAUUUCAUAGAGAUAACCAACAUAUAUUCGCUAUUUUUCAAUUCCCA